rnacentral:rRNA from 1 species
AUAUCAAUAAGCGGAGGAAAAGAAACCAACAGGGAUUGCCCCAGUAACGGCGAGUGAAGCGGCAACAGCUCAAAUUUGAAAUCUGGCUCCUAGCGGGUCCGAGUUGUAAUUUGCAGAGGAUGCUUUUGGCGCGGUGCCUUCCGAGUUCCCUGGAACGGGACGCCGGAGAGGGUGAGAGCCCCGUACGGUUGGCCGCCUAGCCUGUGUAAAGCUCCUUCGACGAGUCGAGUAGUUUGGGAAUGCUGCUCUAAACGGGAGGUACACCCCUUCUAAAGCUAAAUACCGGCCAGAGACCGAUAGCGCACAAGUAGAGUGAUCGAAAGAUGAAAAGCACUUUGAAAAGAGAGUCAAACAGCACGUGAAAUUGUUGAAAGGGAAGCGCUUGUGGCCAGACCUGUCCCGGCAGCUCAGCCGUCCCUCGUGGGCGGUGCACUCUGCCGGGUGCAGGCCAGCAUCAGCUCGUGGCGGGGGAGAAAGGCAGCGGGAACGUGGCUCUUCGGAGUGUUAUAGCCCGCCGCUACGCCCCACCGCGGGCUGAGGUUCGCGCUCCGCAAGGAUGCUGGCGUAAUGGCCAUCAGCGACCCGUCUUGAAACACGGACCAAGGAGCGGUCCUAACAUGCGAGUGUUCGGGUGCAAAACCCCUACGCGGAAUGAAAGUGAACGGAGGUGAGAGCUUCGGCGCAUCAUCGACCGAUCCUGAUGUUUUCGGAUGGAUUUGAGUAAGAGCAUGUUGGGACCAGCCCGAAAGAAGAUGAUCUAUGCUUGGAUAGGGCAAAGCCAGAGGAAACUCUGGUGGAGGCUCGCAGCGGUUCUGACGUGCAAAUCGAUCGUCAAAUCUGAGCAUGGGGGCGAAAGACUAAUCGAAUCUUCUAGUAGCUGGUUUCCGC